rnacentral:rRNA from 1 species
AUUGAACGCUGGCGGCAGGCCUAACACAUGCAAGUCGAGCGGAUGAGGGAAGCUUGCUUCCCGAUUUAGCGGCGGACGGGUGAGUAAUGCCUAGGAAUCUGCCUAUUAGUGGGGGAUAACGUUCCGAAAGGAACGCUAAUACCGCAUACGUCCUACGGGAGAAAGUGGGGGAUCUUCGGACCUCACGCUAAUAGAUGAGCCUAGGUCGGAUUAGCUAGUUGGUGAGGUAACGGCUCACCAAGGCGACGAUCCGUAGCUGGUCUGAGAGGAUGAUCAGCCACACUGGAACUGAGACACGGUCCAGACUCCUACGGGAGGCAGCAGUGGGGAAUAUUGGACAAUGGGCGAAAGCCUGAUCCAGCCAUGCCGCGUGUGUGAAGAAGGUCUUCGGAUUGUAAAGCACUUUAAGUUGGGAGGGAGGGUUGUAAGCUAAUAUCUUGCAGCUUUGACGUUACCAACAGAAUAAGCACCGGCUAACUCUGUGGCAGCCGCCGCGGUAAGAC